GCGCAAUUGGUCUAGUGGUAUGAUUCUCGCUUAGGGUGCGAGAGGCCCCAGGUUCGAACCCUGGAUUGCGCC